rnacentral:snRNA from 1 species
GGAUGUAAGGGCGAUCUGGCUGCGACAUCUGUCACCCCAUUGAUCGCCAAGGUUGAUUCGGCUGAUCUGGCUGGCUAGACGAGUGUCCCCUUCCUCCCUCACCGCUCCAUGUGCGUCCCUUCUGAAGCUGUGCACUCGGUGGAAGAGGGAGAUGUCCCAUGUAUAGAAGGAGUGUACCGAAGUCUUCAGUCCCGGGUAUACGAUAGCUGCGCUCCUCUGCUAGAACCUCCAAACAAGCUCAAGUACAUUGGUGCCCUGUUCCUGCCUCAAUCAAUGUGUGAUUCCAGGCUGUA